UACGUAGGGUGCAAGCGUUGUCCGGAAUUAUUGGGCGUAAAGAGCUCGUAGGCGGCCUGUUACGUCUGCUGUGAAAUCCCGGGGCUUAACCCCGGGCGUGCAGUGGAUACGGGCAGGCUGGAGGCAGGCAGGGGAGAACGGAAUUCCCGGUGUAGCGGUGAAAUGCACAGAGAUCGGGAAGAACACCAGUGGCGAAGGCGCUCUACUAGGCCGUGACUGACACUGAGAGACGAUAGCUAGGGGAGCGAAUAGG
rnacentral:rRNA from 1 species